rnacentral:rRNA from 1 species
GGGCCCGCACAAGCAGCGGAGCAUGUGGUUUAAUUCGAAGCAACGCGAAGAACCUUACCUGGACUUGACAUCUCCUGAAUAGCCUGUAAUUAGGCGAAGCCCUUCGGGGCAGGAAGACAGGUGGUGCAUGGUUGUCGUCAGCUCGUGUCGUGAGAUGUUGGGUUAAGUCCCGCAACGAGCGCAACCCUUAUUGUUAGUUGCUACCAUUCAGUUGAGCACUCUAAUAAGACUGCCCGGGUUAACCGGGAGGAAGGUGGGGAUGACGUCAAAUCAUCAUGCCCCUUAUGUCCAGGGCCACACACGUGCUACAAUGGUAAGUACAAUUAGAUGCAAUACCGCGAGGUGGAGCUAAACUGAAAAACUUAUCCCAGUUCGGAUUGCAGGCUGCAACUCGCCUGCAUGAAGCUGGAGUUGCUAGUAAUCGCGAAUCAGAAUGUCGCGGUGAAUACGUUCCCGGGCCUU